rnacentral:lncRNA from 1 species
AAAAAAAAACAAAAUACAUGAAAUAUAUAUACAAUAAAGAGAAUUAUAUUUAGGGUUUAUAACUAUUACUUGCAGCACAAGUAACUGGAUAAAGAGCACUUCACCUCACAGCAAGGCUCACGGUUGAUGAUGGUGGUUCUGUCGGAAAGGGUGUGGCUGAUAACUCCAUCAUAACCAAGUAAACUCAUCCUGCAAUAUUUUUAGUUUAGCCGUAGAUCUCUAUUUUUCAUCAAUAUCACACAUACCCGAAAGAAAAAAAAACAAAAAUACAUGAAAUAUAUAUACAAUAAAGAGAAUUAUAUUUAGGGUUUAUAACUAUUACUUGCAGCACAAGUAACUGGAUAAAGAGCACUUCACCUCACGGCAAGGCUCACGGUUGAUGAUGGUGGUUCUGUCGGAAAGGGUGUGGCUGAUAACUCCAUCAUAACCAAGUAAACUCAUCCUGCAAUAUUUUUAGUUUAGCCGUAGAUCUCUAUUUUUCAUCAAUAUCACACAUACCCGAAAGAAAAAAAAACAAAAAUACAUGAAAUAUAUAUACAAUAAAGAGAAUUAUAUUUAGGGUUUAUAACUAUUACUUGCAGCACAAGUAACUGGAUAAAGAGCACUUAACCUCACGGCAAGGCUCACGGUUGAUGAUGGUGGUUCUGUCGGAAAGGGUGUGGCUGAUGACAUGGCUGUGAGCUUCGGUUGUGCUUAACUCACGGUGGUGAAGAGAUAUGACAGAUCACAUCUC